UGUAGUCAUAUGCUUGUCUCAAAGAUUAAGCCAUGCAUGUCUAAGUAUAAGCAAUUAUACCGAGAAACUGAGAAUGGCUCAUUAAAUCAGUUAUCGUUUAUUUGAUAGUACCUUACUACAUGGAUAACCGUGGUAAUUCUAGAGCUAAUACAUGCUAAAAAUCCCGAUUUCGGAAGGGAUGUAUUUAUUAGAUUAAAAACCAAUCCCCUUCGGGGCUCUCUGGUGAUUCAUAAUAACUUCUCGAAUCGCACGGCCUUGCGCCGGCGAUGGUUCAUUCAAAUUUCUGCCCUAUCAACUUUCGACGGCUGGUCUUGGCAGCCGUGGUGACAACGGGUAACGGAGGGUUAGGGCUCGACCCCGGAGAAGGAGCCUGAGAAACGGCUACUACAUCCAAGGAAGGCAGCAGGCGCGCAAAUUACCCAAUCCCGACACGGGGAGGUAGUGACAAUAAAUACUGAUACAGGGCUCUUUCGGGUCUUGUAAUUGGAAUGAGUACAAUUUAAAUCCCUUAACGAGGAACAAUUGGAGGGCAAGUCUGGUAAUCG
rnacentral:rRNA from 1 species